rnacentral:rRNA from 1 species
UUAAGUAGACCGCCUGGGGAGUACGGCCGCAAGGUUAAAACUCAAAUGAAUUGACGGGGGCCCGCACAAGCGGUGGAGCAUGUGGUUUAAUUCGAUGCAACGCGAAGAACCUUACCUGGUCUUGACAUCCACAGAAGUUUGCAGAGAUGCGAAUGUGCCUUCGGGAACUGUGAGACAGGUGCUGCAUGGCUGUCGUCAGCUCGUGUUGUGAAAUGUUGGGUUAAGUCCCGCAACGAGCGCAACCCUUAUCCUUUGUUGCCAGCGAUUAGGUCGGGAACUCAAAGGAGACUGCCAGUGAUAAACUGGAGGAAGGUGGGGAUGACGUCAAGUCAUCAUGGCCCUUACGACCAGGGCUACACACGUGCUACAAUGGCGCAUACAAAGAGA